CAUUUUUUGAGGGAAAAAAAUAACUAGUUAAAAAUUGCACAGUUAUCUUUGCUCCUAUAUCACAUCACCUGCUAUUAUAGAAAAGCUAACCCUGCCCACACCUCCAUCUACCUUGCUACUUAGAUACUAACUUCUUUUGAUUCACUAGUUUACCAGUUUACCUCUAUUCUCUCGUCUUCUCUAAUGAUCUAUGUAUAGUCUGUACAAUUAUGACUUCCUUUUUGCAUAUGAACUUUCCUCACUAAUUUACCACUUAGUUACAUAUUGUGUAGUUUGUACAAUUCUCCAGUUUACCUCAUCGCUUAUACAUAUACUUUUUGCAUAUAUCUAUUACCAUUAAUGGCUAAGGAUGACAUCACUUUCGAAUUUGCAAAUUUCUUGCGAGGAGAAGGUAGAGUAUGAGAGCAACUAUCUGGAAAUGUUAGAAAGAUUCUAUUUGGCGGAGAUGAAGAUGAUGCUUGGCCAAAGAAGUUGAAUACCAUAAAAUUUGCUUCAGUAAAUGAUUUAUGAAAUCGAUGAUCUUAAAAUGGCUGCUAGAAGAUCAAUGAGCCAUUUGAAGAUAAAGGAACUUGCUGUAUUUUAUUAUCAUGCUUUGUUCAUUUUCUUGUAUUUAAAAUUUUUUGCAAGAUAUAAUUAGAACCGAAUUUGAUUUGUACAAAUCGUUGCAAUACUUUUGAUAUUGAUUUGCAUAAUUAAAGUCCAUUUAUUUAGCAGCUUUAAUAGGGGAU